GGGGCACUGGGGUGUGCAACGAGGAGCUGCAGACGGUGGUGGUGCGCUAUAAGAAGCGGUUCCCGUGGUCAAUCCUCCACCCCUUCCUCCAUGUUGAUUUGGUUUCUACUGCCCACAUUGCUGACAAAGAAUACUUCGAUAGACUCCAGCAAGCACUUCGAGAUUAUAAUUGUGUGCUGUAUGAAAUGGUGACAAGCCGUGAGAACUUAAAAAAUCGGAAGGACCCAACGUUUGCAAAUAAGCUGAAAUCUUCAUGUAGAGGAUUCAGUAUUCUUGGUUUCAUACAGAAGCAAAUGGCAAACAUCCUUUGAUUGGAUUACCAGCUUGAUUGCCUUGACUAUGGAAAUAAAAAAUGGUAACAUGCUGACCUUGACUUUGAGAUAUCCGAGCAGCUCCAGAUUCAUCAGGCAUGUUUGCAUGGAUGAUGGAGCAAGAAGUGGCACAUAUAUGCCCUACAAAGUUAAAAUGUCUUAUCAAACUAAUGGACCUUUGAAUUUGAUACGUUCAAUAAUUGACCAGACUUAUAAUUAUCUACCACAAGGUAAGAAAGUUUAGUUACUAUGUUCAUUAUUAUUAUUUUCUUUGUAUGCUUUGCAGAAUAUGAGUUGAUCGACCAAGAUUUUAUUACACAAAUGACGGUAGAAACAUCACCUCAAAGCACCAAAUUAGUCAACAUAGAAGAUGUGUACGUCGAUCAACAUCGAUUGUCAUGUUUUUUGGAUAAAAAUAAUUUUGUCAAUGACGAUAUAAGUAUAACUACAUUUUUAAUCAAACUUUA